GACGAACGCUGGCGGCGUGCUUAACACAUGCAAGUCGAACGGAAAGGCCCUGCUUUUGUGGGGUGCUCGAGUGGCGAACGGGUGAGUAACACGUGAGUAACCUGCCCUUGACUUUGGGAUAACUUCAGGAAACUGGGGCUAAUACCGGAUAGGAGCUCCUGCUGCAUGGUGGGGGUUGGAAAGUUUCGGCGGUUGGGGAUGGACUCGCGGCUUAUCAGCUUGUUGGUGGGGUAGUGGCUUACCAAGGCUUUGACGGGUAGCCGGCCUGAGAGGGUGACCGGCCACAUUGGGACUGAGAUACGGCCCAGACUCCUACGGGAGGCAGCAGUGGGGAAUAUUGCACAAUGGGCGGAAGCCUGAUGCAGCAACGCCGCGUGCGGGAUGACGGCCUUCGGGUUGUAAACCGCUUUCGCCUGUGACGAAGCGUGAGUGACGGUAAUGGGUAAAGAAGCACCCGCUAACUUCGUG
rnacentral:rRNA from 1 species